rnacentral:rRNA from 1 species
CCUACGGGCGGCAGCAGUGGGGAAUAUUGCACAAUGGGGGAAACCCUGAUGCAGCGACGCCGCGUGAGUGAAGAAGUAUUUCGGUAUGUAAAGCUCUAUCAGCAGGGAAGAAAAUGACGGUACCUGAUCAAGAAGCCCCGGCUAACUACGUGCCAGCAGCCGCGGUAAUACGUAGGGGGCAAGCGUUACCCGGAUUUACUGGGUGUAAAGGGAGCGUAGACGGCAGCACAAGUCUGGAGUGAAAGCCCGGGGCCUAACCCCGGGACUGCUUUGGAAACUGUGCAGCUAGAGUGCAGGAGAGGUAAGUGGAAUUCCUAGUGUAGCGGUGAAAUGCGUAGAUAUUAGGAGGAACACCAGUGGCGAAGGCGGCUUACUGGACUGUAACUGACGUUGAGGCUCGAAAGCGUGGGGAGCAAACAGGAUUAGAUACCCGGGUAGUC